rfam:Microscilla marina ATCC 23134 1099589004137, whole genome shotgun sequence.
GGACCGGUAGCUUAGCUGAAUAGAGCACCAGAUUACGGCUCUGGAGGUCGUAGGUUUGAAUCCUACCCGGUUCA